CCCUCUGAUCAAUGCUGAUUGACACUCUGACAGCAAAGUGCCCUCGAUCAGAUCUGACACUCUAACAGCAAAGUCCCUGCAAAAGAGCUUAUCACUAUGUGUGUUCUGGUUAUAUAUCAACAAGAAUAGCAGAGGAAUCGAUGGCAAAGAUAAGGAACAAUAUUCUUCUUAUUUCCAAGAAAGGCAUUUAGUUGAUUCAUGUCAGUUCUUGGAACUAAAGCAUCAUACAAUGAUAUAUAACCAUCUAUCAGUCAUGUCUGAACCUAGCGUUCCUUAACAGAUAGGCUCCUCAUUUCAAAAGGAUUAAAUGAGUCUAAAUGGCCAUGGCUUGUCGUCCGUCUUGAAGCGGAUUCAGAGCCUGGUAGGAUCGCACACCAUAUGGCUUGGACAUUGGAAGAAGAUACAAGAUUGACAAGUGUUCGGUCAAAAAACUCAAAUUAUUCCAUCGAUAGAAUAACAUGAAGAACAAGUACUGGGAUAACAUGGUUGUUACUACAAUAGUAAAAGGCCAAGUCACGGGAGGAGAGAUGCUCAGCGUGUAUGAUGGACAUGGUGGCUCGGAGGUGAGGUUAUCUUCUCUUGAAAAUCUUGACCCACAAAAGAAACUAACCAUGACGCUGUGGGAACCAGGAAAGCGUAGAUCACGAAUGGCCCCACAAUUUGGUGGUGUGAUACGUCUCCAACGUAUCUAUAAUUUUUUAUUGUUCCAUGCUAUUAUAUUAUAUGUUUUGAAUGUUUAUGGGCUUUAUUAUAUAUUUUUAUAUUAUUUUUGGGACUAACUUAUUAACCCAGAGCCCAGUGUCAGUUUCUGUUUUUCUCCUUGUUUCAGUGUUUCGCAGAAAAGGAAUAUCAAACGGAGUCCAAACGAAAUGAAACCUU